rnacentral:rRNA from 1 species
GAUGAACGCUGGCGGCGUGCCUAAUACAUGCAAGUCGAGCGAACAGACGAGGAGCUUGCUCCUCUUACGUUAGCGGCGGACGGGUGAGUAACACGUGGAUAACCUACCUAUAAGACUGGGAUAACUUCGGGAAACCGGAGCUAAUACCGGAUAAUAUAUUGAACCGCAUGGUUCAAUAGUGAAAGACGGUUUUGCUGUCACUUAUAGAUGGAUCCGCGCCGCAUUAGCUAGUUGGUAAGGUAACGGCUUACCAAGGCAACGAUGCGUAGCCGACCUGAGAGGGUGAUCGGCCACACUGGAACUGAGACACGGUCCAGACUCCUACGGGAGGCAGCAGUAGGGAAUCUUCCGCAAUGGGCGAAAGCUUGACGGAGCAACGCCGCGUGAGUGAUGAAGGUCUUCGGAUCGUAAAACUCUGUUAUUAGGGAAGAACAAAUGUGUAAGUAACUAUGCACGUCUUGACGGUACCUAAUCAGAAAGCCACGGCUAACUACGUG